rnacentral:misc_RNA from 1 species
GAUGAAGAACGUAGCGAAUUGCGAUAUGUAAUGUGAAUUGCAGAAUUCAGUGAAUCAUCGAAUCUUUGAACGCAUAUUGCACCCACUGGCAUUCCAGAGGGUAUGCCUGUUUGAGUGUCAUUAAUCUCUCAACUUUGAGUAAAUGGUUUUCUGUUUGCUCUAUAGUUGGAUUAUGAAGAGUGCUCGCUCUAUUGGCUGGCUUCUUUUAAAUGCAUUAGCGAUUCUAAUGUAGAGUUGGCUUUAGCUUAGUAAAUAUUUAUCUAUGCUGCUGCCCUUAAUAUUGGAAAGCUUUCAAAUUGUCCUGUCGGACUGUCUUUAUAGACAUUUAUUUGAACUUUUGACCUCAAAUCAGGUAGGACUACCCGCUGAACUUAAGCAUAUCAAUAAGCGGAGGA